rnacentral:rRNA from 1 species
GAUGAACGCUGACAGAAUGCUUAACACAUGCAAGUCUUUGGUGAAGCUGUGCUUGCACAGCCUAGCCAAGGCGGACGGGUGAGUAACGCGUAAGGAACUUGCCCUGCAGUCAGGGAUAACAGACGGAAACGACUGAUAAGACCUGGUAAAGUCAGGCGGACUCAUGUCCAGCCUGAUGAAAAGAGAUGCUGCAGGAGAGCCUUGCGUCCUAUUAGCUUGUUGGUGGGGUAACGGCCCACCAAGGCAAUGAUAGGUAGCCGGCCUGAGAGGGUGGACGGCCAAAAGGGAACUGAGAUCCGGCCCUUACCCCGAGGGGGGGGAGCGGGGGGAAAUAUGGGAAAAGGGGGGCAACCGUGAACCAACAAUUCUGUGGGAAGAAAGAAGGUUUUGGGAUUGAAAAGUGCUUUCAGAAGGGAAGAAAAAAAUGAGGGGCCCGGGAAAAGAAGCAACGGCAAAAUCCGU